rnacentral:rRNA from 1 species
ACGGGAGGCAGCAGUGAGGAAUAUUGGUCAAUGGGCGGAAGCCUGAACCAGCCAAGUCGCGUGAAGGAUGAAGGUAUUAUGUAUUGUAAACUUCUUUAGCAGUGGAGUAAUAAGGGGAUCGUGAUCCCUGAUGCAAGUACACUGAAAAUAAGGAUCGGCUAACUCCGUGCCAGCAGCCGCGGUAAUACGGAGGAUCCGAGCGUUAUCCGGAUUUAUUGGGUUUAAAGGGUGCGCAGGCGGCCCUGUAAGUCAGCGGUUAAAUCGUGGAGCUCAACUCCAUCCCGCCGUUGAUACUGCAGGGCUUGAUUGCGGUCGAGGUUGGCGGAAUUCGUCGUGUAGCGGUGAAAUGCAUAGAUAUGACGAAGAACCCCGAUUGCGUAGGCAGCUUACCAGACCGACAAUGACGCUCAUGCACGAAAGUGCGGGGAUCGAACAGGAUUAGAUACCCUGGUA